GGGGAGGUUGCCGAGCGGCCAAAGGCAAGGGACUGUAAAUCCCUCGGCGGAAGCCUUCGGUGGUUCGAAUCCACCCCUCCCCA
rnacentral:tRNA from 1 species